GCCGUGGCGAAGGUGGGAGGGACAGAGAGCAACAUGAGGGCAAACACUUCACAGUGGAUGGGCGUGAGAGUUUCACCGACUUGAGUUUCUCAGCAAGUUGUCAUUCCACAACUUCUACAGCACCGGGUCUCCGCGGCGCCGGGCCUCGGACUGACAAGACCAUGUGUGGACAAUGAAAACCAAAACCAAAACUUUCAGGAGGAAAAAAAAAAGAUUCACGUGAAAGUUGACACCCGAAAAGGGGCUUUUUGUUUGGACUCAACAAGACUCAAGAUUCUCAAUAGGACCUUGAUUCUGGAUCAUCUGGAUAACUAAGCGCUCGCUGAAGCACUUGCAGACAACGGGCCCAUCAAACUCACACCGGCCGGUCGAGCCUGUAAACGUUCAGUACAAGGUGGUAGUUUUAAACACAUCAGCAGCCGGGACCACGGGGCUGACGCUUUAAGGGAAGCGACGCCGUUUUCUCAAGAAAAUUAUGAGGAAACACUUUUCCCGGAAAUUCCCUUUGAGCCGAGUUAAAUUACAACCGCAAGGAUUCAUUAUUGUUCUUGAGAAAAGAAAAAGCCUAACUCUGGUUUAACAGGGAGGGGCAGAGUAUAGUCUUACUAAUAAGAGCCAUUUAAAAAAAAAUCAUUAACAAAUUCCAAACCCUGUGUGGAAGUUACGGAAGCGCAUUCUUGUCGCCUUUAAGACAGUAUCUCAUAAUGUGACUAUCUCAGUUAAAGUCAGGACACGACUAUGUGAUAGUCAUGACAUACUAUCCUUAUUAUGACUUAAAGGACCUUGUUCUUUGGCGGGAAUGGGCUUCCAUUGGACGUUUAAUUAUUAAGUGUAAUGUCGUAAAACAUUGCAUUGUCUUGCAGCACGCAGGGGGACACCAGUCUUAUGCAGUCUGACACUUAACGAAACAAAAAGAAAUAAAGUGCAACCUGAUAAAUGAGUGAGAAAGUCUGUCAAAGUCUUCUGACCUGAGAAGAACUAAACGCGAACCUACAGGCCUCAACUCCCACAGAAAGAAUGAAAC
ensembl:lncRNA